rnacentral:tRNA from 1 species
GGAGAAGUCAGAUAGAGGCCUAUUCUGAUCGCUUGGAAAGCGAUUGUGCGCAAGCACACGUGGGUUCGAAUCCCACCUUCUCCG